AUCCCAGCCCUCUUACUUAAUUUUUUUUGCAACACAGGGUCUCACUGUGUUGCCCAGGGUGGAGUGCAGUGGCCCAAUCAUGGCUCACCACAGCCUUGACUUCCCAGGCUCAAGCCAUCCUCCCAUCUCAGCCUCCCGAGUAGCUGGGACCACAGAUGGCAUGUGCCACCACGCUUGGCUAGUUGUUUUUUAUUUUUGGUAGAUACAGGGUCUCGUCAUGAUGCCCAGGCUGGUCUCGAACACCUGAGCUGAAGUGAUCCAUCCACCUCAGCCUCCCAAAGUGCUGGAAUUACAGGCGUGAGCCACUGCACCAAGCUAUUUAUUUGACUUUGAACAAACAAUUUCCCAUCUCUGAACUUAUCAGUUUCCUCAUCAAGACAAGGUCUCACUAUAUGGCCCAGGCUGGUCUCAAACGAUCUUCAUGUCUUGGCCUCCCAAAGUGCUGAGAUUACAGGCAUGAGCCACCAUGCCUGGCCCAGGUUAUUCUUAAUCUCACCUUUUAGAGGUAGAAAGUGGAGAGCCCCGCCCUGUGGGCUUUAAAUCUUGUUCCACUUCAGACACUUUCACAGCUCUGACAUCAUGAAUACUGUAAUCACCCAGCACAGGAGGGACUGCGAUUCCCAGAACUCUGACAUCAACAGCCUGUGAGGACAGCAAGCUGGAUGUGGCUCGCUCUGAACAUCUGCCUCUCCACUCAGGAGACCUAGCUCCUUGCAGAGCCUCAUUCUUCCACGUGUUUCAGGGCGACCCCAGCGGGUAGAUAACAUGCACCCAUAGAUGAGUCCUGGUUGCCACUUGAUUUUGAAAGGAAAAAUAAAAUUGCAUUUAUUUCCAAA
rnacentral:lncRNA from 1 species